rnacentral:rRNA from 1 species
AUGCAAGUCGAGCGGAACGAGUUAACUGAACCUUCGGGGAGCGUUAACGGCGUCGAGCGGCGGACGGGUGAGUAAUGCCUGGGAAAUUGCCCUGAUGUGGGGGAUAACCAUUGGAAACGAUGGCUAAUACCGCAUAAUAGCUUCGGCUCAAAGAGGGGGACCUUCGGGCCUCUCGCGUCAGGAUGUGCCCAGGUGGGAUUAGCUAGUUGGUGAGGUAAUGGCUCACCAAGGCGACGAUCCCUAGCUGGUCUGAGAGGAUGAUCAGCCACACUGGAACUGAGACACGGUCCAGACUCCUACGGGAGGCAGCAGUGGGGAAUAUUGCACAAUGGGCGCAAGCCUGAUGCAGCCAUGCCGCGUGUAUGAAGAAGGCCUUCGGGUUGUAAAGUACUUUCAGUGGUGAAGAUGAUGACGGUAACCAGAGAAGAAGCCCCGGCUAACUUCGUGCCAGCAGCCGCGGUAAUACGAAGGGGGCGGGCGUUGUUCGGAAUUACUGGGCGUAAAGGGCACGUAGGCGGCUCUUUAAGUUAGGCGUGAAAGCCCCGGGCUCAACCUGGGAACUGCGCUUAAGACUGGAGAGCUAGAAAACGGAAGAGGGUAGUGGAAUUCCCAGUGUAGAGGUGAAAUUCGUAGAUAUUGGGAAGAACACCAGUGGCGAAAGCGGCUACCUGGUCCGGCUUUGACGCUGAGGCGCGAAAGCGUGGGGAGCAAACAGGAUUAGAUACCCUGGUAGUCCACGCCGUAAACGAUGUCUGCUAGAUGUCGGGGGGUUGCCCCUCGGUGUCGCCGCUAACGCAUUAAGCAGACCGCCUGGGAAGUACGGUCGCAAGAUUAAAACUCAAAGGAAUUGACGGGGGCUCGCACAAGCGGUGGAGCAUGUGUUUAAUUCGAAGCAACGCGCAGACCUUACCAGUCCUUGACAUGGGGAGUUUGGUUUCCGGAGACGGAUUCUUCAGUUCGGCUGCUCCCACACAGUGCUGCAUGCUGUCGUCAGCUCGUGUCGUGAGAUGUUGGGUUAGUUCUGCAAC